rnacentral:rRNA from 1 species
UGGGGAAUUUUGGACAAUGGGCGAAAGCCUGAUCCAGCAAUGCCGCGUGUGUGAAGAAGGCCUUCGGGUUGUAAAGCACUUUUGUCCGGAAAGAAAUCCUUGGCUCUAAUACAGUCGGGGGAUGACGGUACCGGAAGAAUAAGCACCGGCUAACUACGUGCCAGCAGCCGCGGUAAUACGUAGGGUGCAAGCGUUAAUCGGAAUUACUGGGCGUAAAGCGUGCGCAGGCGGUUUGCUAAGACCGAUGUGAAAUCCCCGGGCUCAACCUGGGAACUGCAUUGGUGACUGGCAGGCUAGAGUAUGGCAGAGGGGGGUAGAAUUCCACGUGUAGCAGUGAAAUGCGUAGAGAUGUGGAGGAAUACCGAUGGCGAAGGCAGCCCCCUGGGCCAAUACUGACGCUCAUGCACGAAAGCGUGGGGAGCAAACAGGAUUAGAUACCCUGAUAGUCCACCGCCUAAAACGAUGUCAACUAGUUGUUGGGGAUUCAUUUCCUUAGUAACGUAGCUAACGCGUGAAGUUGACCGCCUGGGGAGUACGGUCGCAAGAUUAAAACUCAAAGGAAUUGACGGGGUCAUAGCUGUUUCCU